rnacentral:rRNA from 1 species
GACAGAGGCCCCAAGCGUUAGGCGGAAUCACUGGGCUUAAAGCGUGUGUAGGCGGACUUCUAAGUGCCUUGUGAAAUCCCACGGCUCAACUGUGGAACUGCUGGGCAUACUGGGAGUCUUGGGCCAUUCAGGGGCAACUGGAACAAGCGGUGGAGCGGUGAAAUGCGUAGAUAUCGCUUGGAACGCCGAAGGUGAAAACAGGUUGCUGGGGAUGUGCCGACGCUGAGACACGAAAGCCAGGGGAGCAAACGGG